AAAUUGAAGAGUUUGAUCAUGGCUCAGAUUGAACGCUGGCGGCAGGCCUAACACAUGCAAGUCGAACGGUAACAGGAAGCAGCUUGCUGCUUCGCUGACGAGUGGCGGACGGGUGAGUAAUGUCUGGGAAACUGCCUGAUGGAGGGGGAUAACUACUGGAAACGGUGGCUAAUACCGCAUAACGUCGCAAGACCAAAGAGGGGGACCUUCGGGCCUCUUGCCAUCAGAUGUGCCCAGAUGGGAUUAGCUUGUUGGUGAGGUAACGGCUCACCAAGGCGACGAUCCCUAGCUGGUCUGAGAGGAUGACCAGCCACACUGGAACUGAGACACGGUCCAGACUCCUACGGGAGGCAGCAGUGGGGAAUAUUGCACAAUGGGCGCAAGCCUGAUGCAGCCAUGCCGCGUGUAUGAAGAAGGCCUUCGGGUUGUAAAGUACUUUCAGCGGGGAGGAAGGUGUUGUGGUUAAUAACCGCAGCAAUUGACGUUACCCGCAGAAGAAGCACCGGCUAACUCCGUGCCAGCAGCCGCGGUAAUACGGAGGGUGCAAGCGUUAAUCGGAAUUACUGGGCGUAAAGCGCACGCAGGCGGUCUGUCAAGUCGGAUGUGAAAUCCCCGGGCUCAACCUGGGAACUGCAUUCGAAACUGGCAGGCUUGAGUCUUGUAGAGGGGGGUAGAAUUCCAGGUGUAGCGGUGAAAUGCGUAGAGAUCUGGAGGAAUACCGGUGGCGAAGGCGGCCCCCUGGACAAAGACUGACGCUCAGGUGCGAAAGCGUGGGGAGCAAACAGGAUUAGAUACCCUGGUAGUCCACGCCGUAAACGAUGUCUACUUGGAGGUUGUGCCCUUGAGGCGUGGCUUCCGGAGCUAACGCGUUAAGUAGACCGCCCGGGAGUACGGCCGCAAGGUUAAAACUCAAAUGAAUUGACGGGGGCCCGCACAAGCGGUGGAGCAUGUGGUUUAAUUCGAUGCAACGCGAAGAACCUUACCUGGUCUUGACAUCCACAGAAGAAUCCAGAGAUGGAUUUGUGCCUUCGGGAACUGUGAGACAGGUGCUGCAUGGCUGUCGUCAGCUCGUGUUGUGAAAUGUUGGGUUAAGUCCCGCAACGAGCGCAACCCUUAUCCUUUGUUGCCAGCGGUUAGGCCGGGAACUCAAAGGAGACUGCCAGUGAUAAACUGGAGGAAGGUGGGGAUGACGUCAAGUCAUCAUGGCCCUUACGACCAGGGGCUACACACGUGCUACAAUGGCGCAUACAAAGAGAAGCGACCUCGCGAGAGCAAGCGGACCUCAUAAAGUGCGUCGUAGUCCGGAUUGAGUCUGCAACUCGACUCCAUGAAGUCGGAAUCGCUAGUAAUCGUGGAUCAGAAUGCCACGGUGAAUACGUUCCCGGGCCUUGUACACACCGCCCGUCACACCAUGGGAGUGGGUUGCAAAAGAAGUAGGUAGCUUAACCUUCGGGAGGGCGCUUACCACUUUGUGAUUCAUGACUGGGGUGAAGUCGUAACAAGGUAACCGUAGGGGAACCUGCGGUUGGAUCACCUCCUUACCUUAAAGAA
rnacentral:rRNA from 1 species